rnacentral:rRNA from 1 species
GACGAACGCUGGCGGCGUGCUUAACACAUGCAAGUCGAACGGAAAGGCCCUGCUUUUGUGGGGUGCUCGAGUGGCGAACGGGUGAGAAACACGUGAGUAACCUGCCCUUGACUUUGGGAUAACUUCAGGAAACUGGGGCUAAUACCGGAUAGGAGCUCCUGCUGCAUGGUGGGGGUUGGAAAGUUUCGGCGGUUGGGGAUGGACUCGCGGCUUAUCAGCUUGUUGGUGGGGUAGUGGCUUACCAAGGCUUUGACGGGUAGCCGGCCUGAGAGGGUGACCGGCGACAUUGGGACUAAGAUACGGCCCAGACUCCUACGGGAGGCAGCAGUGGGGAAUAUUGCACAAUGGGCGGAAGCCUGAUGCAGCAACGCCGCGUGCGGGAUGACGGCCUUCGGGUUGUAAACCGCUGUCGCCUGUGACGAAGCGUGAGUGACGGUAAUGGGUAAAGAAGCACCGGCUAACUACGUG